AGCCGCCGCGGUAAUACCGGCGGCCCGAGUGGUGAUCGUGAUUAUUGGGUCUAAAGGGUCCGUAGCCGGUUUGGUCAGUCCUCCGGGAAAUCUGAUAGCUCAACUAUUAGGCUUUCGGGGGAUACUGCCAGACUUGGAACCGGGAGAGGUAAGAGGUACUACAGGGGUAGGAGUGAAAUCUUGUAAUCCCUGUGGGACCACCUGUGGCGAAGGCGUCUUACCAGAACGGGUUCGACGGUGAGGGACGAAAGCUGGGGGCACGAACCGGAUUAGAUACCCGGGUAGUCCCAGCCGUAAACGAUGCUCGCUAGGUGUCAGGCAUGGCGCGACCGUGUCUGGUGCCGCAGGGAAGCCGUGAAGCGAGCCACCUGGGAAGUACGGCCGCAAGGCUGAAACUUAAAGGAAUUGGCGGGGGAGCACAACAACGGGUGGAAGCCUGCGGUUUAAUUGGACUCAACGCCGGACAACUCACCGGGGGCGACAGCAAUAUGUAGGCCAAGCUCGAAGACUUUGCCUGAAUCGCUGAGGGGUGGUGCAUGG
rnacentral:rRNA from 1 species